GUGGGGAAUCUUGCGCAAUGGGCGAAAGCCUGACGCAGCCAUGCCGCGUGAAUGAUGAAGGUCUUAGGAUUGUAAAAUUCUUUCACCGGGGACGAUAAUGACGGUACCCGGAGAAGAAGCUCCGGCUAACUUCGUGCCAGCAGCCGCGGUAAUACGAAGGGGGCUAGCGUUGCUCGGAAUUACUGGGCGUAAAGGGCGCGUAGGCGGACAGCUUAGUCAGAGGUGAAAGCCCAGGGCUCAACCUUGGAAUUGCCUUUGAUACUGGCUGUCUUGAGUUUGGGAGAGGUGAGUGGAACUCCGAGUGUAGAGGUGAAAUUCGUAGAUAUUCGGAAGAACACCAGUGGCGAAGGCGGCUCACUGGCUCGAUACUGACGCUGAGGUGCGAAAGCGUGGGGAGCAAACAGGAUUAGAAACCCUGGUAGUCC
rnacentral:rRNA from 1 species